GGAUGUGAUGAUGCGAGUAACCCAGUACAAUUGAAGCUUAAUGAAUUUGUAUGUGUUAUUUCAUUCAGUGUCCAAUAAAGACAAGCUGCCUUGUGCUACAGGUCGAUGGGGAAGAGCGAGGCACCACAGUUUGAGUCUAGAUCAAGCUUUGUGAUUCAUCAGCCAAGGGAUGAAAAAAGAAAGAGUUAAUCUAUGGGCUGGAGCAGCUGUCUCUGAGAGGAAAAGAAAAAAAGUGCGACCACUUCUUUUUUCUGGGCAGCUGAUUUGGCUCUGGAAACACGGACCAUCUUGUAGAGACAAGGCUCAAUCAAAGACAAAAAAGCUAUCAGAUGGUUGUAGGUGGCAAAUCUAUUCACAAAAGACAUCGCAUAAAAAUGUUCAAUUAGAAGUGUACAUCAAAAGUAUACAUUGUUACCAAAAUAAUGUCAACAGUAACUACUAAGAUUCAGAUUUCAUCGUGUAUAUAUAAUAUAUAUAUAUAUAUAUAUACUGUAUAUGUAGCAGGGUGACCUGUAUUUCUCCCAUAUAUCUGUUUCAGCCUCAGUCACCUCCCUUUUACCUGUAUUGUGACUUGUGCCACUACGCAACGGUUGCUCUACCGGAUGGCGUCGUAACUAAUCCCUGGCAACCUGAUGUGUGUGGAUAUCCAAUGCCCUAAUGUGUUCUCUGUGCUCUCUUUUUAGAGUAGUGUUCCUGUCCGGGCCGUAUCUUUGGGAGGCGCGGUUUGGUGGUUUGCCGUGUACUUGCAUAACCAGCAUUGGUGGAGUUGGAGACGUCACAUUCUGGCGCUGGCGCUUCAGUGCUCCUAUUUUCAUCUCAUAGAAUAAUAACAUGACUUUUUUCAACCAUUUAAAAAUAAACUUUGUAGACUUGAACUGGAAACACGUCUCUGCAAGUCUUUACACAAAUCUGUAUUAUAAAUGUUGUUUGUUUUUGUACUAUUGGUGCGGUCACAUUCAUAUAUAUAAAUUCUGAUAAGACAUGGACAUCCCCAACUCCAAUUACGCCAUCUCUCAACAUGCCACUACUUGUGUGCUAUUAAUCAUUCGCAUAGACCUAUUAAGAAAUAAUUUGGUACAGUACUAUAAAUUAAUCUGUAACGUCAAGCUAUUUUCUAACCAACAAUGUCCCUGACUGACACAUAUCCCCUUCACGUAGGGACUAGGCUAAUAACAGACUAAUACAAAAAAUGUGACUGAAAAAGUGACUUCCCUUGUGUAAAUUCGGAUGUCUGCGUCGGAGCCAGCAAACCGCUGCAGUCCAAACUCUCGCUGGAGACGUAACUCCUGUAGCUCCUUUCUCAGCUCCUGUACUUCAUUUGAGACGCUUUCAACAGCGGAUGCGGACAUAUCCAUGGCAGUCGUUUCAGGGACAGAGCAGUAGUUUUGAUCGUUGAAAAGGAGAUCAACUUCAUCUUCCGGAGGGGCAGUUUCGACGAACCGAUCCACUCUCUCCCACACGCCGCGCCUUGGGGUUUCGACUGUAUACUGGUUCCACUCAAAAAGGGUCGCUACGGCACCUUUUGUAAGUCUCCUUCGACCCUGAAGAGUAAUUGGCUCAAUCAUCUGGUCAGAACUAAAGUUUCUGCUACAGACCUUAGAGUGAGUGGUGAUGACAUAUUUAUCCCGGCUUAUGUUUAAGCCAUUGACUCCUCACGUCAGUUUGGCUUGGAAAGCCAUGGAAACUAAAUACCCCUUUGGAUUUGGCUGAUGCUGUACAGUGAGGGACACAGCAGUGAUCGUAGGUUUCUCCUGCCUAUAAAAACGAACCGUUUUUAAAUGUUUGCGGCCUUGAUUCAUGUCUAAAGUAUAUCAACGUCAGCUGGCUGGCGCGAUAAACACA
ensembl:lncRNA